GUGCUUCAGUAGCACAUACAUUAGAGAAGAUUAGCAUGGUCCCCGAGCAAGGAUGGCACACAAAUUCACAAACAGUUCCUUCGGUUU
rnacentral:snRNA from 1 species